rnacentral:rRNA from 1 species
GACGAACGCUGGCGGCGUGCUUAACACAUGCAAGUCGAACGGAAAGGCCCUGCUUUUGUGGGGUGCUCGAGUGGCGAACGGGUGAGUAACACGUGAGUAACCUGCCCUUGGCUUUGGGAUAACUUCAGGAAACUGGGGCUAAUACCGGAUAGGAGCUCCUGCUGCAUGGUGGGGGUUGGAAAGUUUCGGCGGUUGGGGAUGGACUCGCGGCUUAUCAGCUUGUUGGUGGGGUAGUGGCUUACCAAGGCUUUGACGGUUAGCCGGCCUGAGAGGGUGACCGGCCUCAUUGGGACUGAGAUACGGCCCAGACUCCUACGGGGGGCAGCAGUGGGGAAUAUGGCACAAUGGGCGGAAGCCUGAUGCAGCAACGCCGCGUGCGUGAUGACGGCCUUCGGGUUGUAAACCGCUUCCGCCUGUGACGAAGCGUGAGUGACGGUAAUGGGUAAAGAAGCACCGGCUAACUACGUG